rnacentral:tRNA from 1 species
GCGCCUGUAGAUCAACUGGCAGAUCGGUCGAAUUAUAAUCGACGGGCUCCAGGUUCAAAUCCUGGCGGGCGCA